GCUCCUACGGGACGCAGCAGUGGGGAAUAUUGCACAAUGGGGGAAACCCUGAUGCAGCGACGCCGCGUGAGUGAAGAAGUAUCUCGGUACGUAAAGCUCUAUCAGCAGGGAAGAAAAUGACGGUACCUGACUAAGAAGCCCCGGCUAACUACGUGCCAGCAGCCGCGGUAAUACGUAGGGGGCAAGCGUUAUCCGGAUUUACUGGGUGUAAAGGGAGCGUAGACGGCUGUGCAAGUCUGAAGUGAAACCCC
rnacentral:rRNA from 1 species